UGGCCUCUGGAGCCCAGCUCAAAAAUUGAACCGCAUGCACCCUAUGGUUUGACCAGACUCAUUUCUAUCCUUUCCCCUCUCUCAUCCUUAUCCCUUCUUUCUCAGAAAGCAGGCUGAGUGGAGGACGCAAGGAGCACUUGCCCAGCCAUGGCGCAGUGGCUCAGACGCGGCCAGCCCAUGGCCUGUGGCGUGCACGCGCGCGGCUCGCGGUGCCCGGGUCCGGGGCGCGGCCUAUACCUGCCAGCGCUGGGUGCCAGGCGCGGCCGGCCUCGCAGCUCCUGCGCGGCUCGCAGCUGCUGGCCAGGCAGCGUUCCCUGCAAUGGCUGUCGCGGCCAUGGCGCGUGGGGCGCAGCCUUAGCUCGGUGGCCAGAGGCGCGCGAACGUCUCGGCCCGAGUGCGCGGCUGCGGCUCCAGCGGUCACGCCCCUGCAGGGGGCGGGGUCUCGCGCGAAGGUGGGGCUAGAGGCGCCCACACGUCCGCGUUUUCAUCCGUACGUCUUCGGGACGUUGGUGGCUCGGUCCGCACGCUCAUCUUCAGGAUGGCGGCGAGGUACUAGUGUUCGUGCUUUAGUGUGCGUGCUUGUUCAUGAAAAAGAAAUUCGAGCAUCAAAUGGUGGAUUUCUCACCUAUUUACCUUUUAGCUCGGUAGGGCUCGUGCUGAUAACGUGUUAGAAAUCGACUUCUUUGGAUUGCUCACAAUGCACUCAAGGACACAGACAGGGAGAUAGAGAGAAGAGGGAGUUGUUUCUGUAUUUCACUUUCUAGUUGAUUGCCUUACAAUGGUGAAAGUGACUCCCUAUUUAUAGCUGGAUGUAGUGAAUACAUACAGAAAUUCUACAGAAAUUCUACAGUGUUUGAACUCUUUGAAAAUCCUCCUUCUUCAUUAAAUUUGGCCACCAUUCAAAGUCUUUGUUCAUACACUGUUUUGACUUUGAUUUUCAACAAGAAUCAACCAGACGGAUGCUAGUCUGUUCACCCCACGAAACACACGAGGCAGCUCAGUCGAAUCAGCCCAACCUCCAUAACCACCCGUGCCCACGAUACUGUGUAAUAGUCACUUUUUUCCUACUGUACUUGAUACCGUGCUUUCGGAUAGCGUCUAGUCAAGCUAGCAAAUCGUUAUCUCUGUGAGCUU
rnacentral:lncRNA from 1 species